rnacentral:lncRNA from 1 species
CUAUAUGCAGUUCCUUCCUUCACUUUCAACAGCAAGGCACACGUAGAAAUCAUUUAUUCAGCUGGUUGAAAUAAACACCCUCGUGCUUCUCCUAGCCCUUCCUGGAGUAGACGUUUAAUUAAAGGGGCAAAAUGGGGGCGGGUUGGAGAAAUACAGGAUGCACGGAGGGCUGCUGUUUUAAAGUAUCACAGUCUUCCACAAGUGCAACCUGAUUUCAGCUUUAAACUGCAGUAAAUCAUGCCCUCCCUCUUUUCCAUAACCUGUGCUACAGAAUUGGCAGCUGUUUGUAAAGAAAAAUAUGCCCAAAGGGGAGUAAGUUAUGAUUGAUCAUUUUUUGACAUGCUAGGGUGGGGAAGAUUAUGUUCCACUGUAGUUAUUGAUGCAAUUUGAUAGCAUCCUGUUGUCUCUGAACAUAUGCUUUUCUUUAUAGGAAUCAUAUUUUGUUUUUCUCAACGGAGAAUUAGAUGAAACAGACCAGUUGCUCUAUAAUCUGGUUAAACUGAAAGACUUAAAUGGGAGAUUCCGGGGUUCCCACUGAUGGCCAAGCCCUUCAAUGAAACACAUUUACAGGGAGGAGGAUAUUUUCCCCUUCUCCCCGAGAACAUGAUUUUGAAUCUGACAGCGGAGCAGUUGAAGUUGGCUCAGACACACAUUUCUGUCUUGACAGAAAAUGUGGACAUAUUCUGUUCAUAAUAAGUUUUUGAAGUUGUGAUGGGCAACGCUCCCAAAGUAUGAAUAGCCCAUCAAAUUUGGGAACAGAUGGCAAAACUGAAGGAUUUGGUGAGCAUAUCUACACUGCCGGCUUUGCUGUGGUUCACAUGUACAUGAUGAUUCACUUGCUGAUGGCAACAUCAAGCGAUUAUUUUUGGGACAUGUGAAUUUGGGACAUCAUAACUCUGCAGACAAACUUUCGUUGGGACUCGCAUCACCUCCAACACAAUGUGUUUCAUACAAGUCAGUUCACAGGAAGUGAUUACAAAAUGUGUUGAAAGCUGUAACUAUGGGUGAUACUUGUGACUCAGGACUUAAGAGUUGUUUAAAAGUUCGUUUGCUUCUCUUUAUAUCACUGCUACAAAAAUAUAGCACUGUGGGGAAAAUCUAAGAAAUAAUUCAAGACACUUGCUUCCCAAGACAAUGGCCAGGAUGUUUUGGGGAUGGAAACCGUGAGUGUUAUCUCAGUAUGAAACAGCUAGGAUGAGUACUGGCUGGAUAGUUCGGUGAGUUGGAGCAUCUGGUUGUGGAACCAG